AGGUUACUGCUAUCGGUGUUCGCCUAAGCCAUGCGAGUCAUAUGUUCUUCGUGAACAUGGUGUACUGCUCAGUAACACGUGGAUAACCUGCCCUUGGGUCCGGCAUAACCCCGGGAAACUGGGGAUAAUUCCGGAUAACGCACAUAUGCUGGAAUGCUUUAUGCGUCAAAUGGAUUCGUCCGCCCAAGGAUGGGUCUGCGGCCUAUCAGGUAGUAGUGGGUGUAAUGUACCUACUAGCCUACGACGGGUACGGGUUGUGAGAGCAAGAGCCCGGAGAUGGAUUCUGAGACAUGAAUCCAGGCCCUACGGGGCGCAGCAGGCGCGAAAACUUUACAAUGCGGGAAACCGUGAUAAGGGGACACCGAGUGCCAGCAUCAUAUGCUGGCUGUCCGGGUGUGUAAAAUACACCUGUUAGCAAGGGCCGGGCAAGACCGGUGCCAGCCGCCGCGGUAACACCGGCGGCCCGAGUGGUGAUCGUGAUUAUUGGGUCUAAAGGGUCCGUAGCCGGUUUGGUCAGUCCUCCGGGAAAUCUGACGGCUUAACCGUUAGGCUUUCGGGGGAUACUGCCAGACUUGGAACCGGGAGAGGUAAGAGGUACUACAGGGGUAGGAGUGAAAUCUUGUAAUCCCUGUGGGACCACCUGUGGCGAAGGCGUCUUACCAGAACGGGUUCGACGGUGAGGGACGAAAGCUGGGGGCACGAACCGGAUUAGAUACCCGGGUAGUCCCAGCCGUAAACGAUGCUCGCUAGGUGUCAGGCAUGGCGCGACCGUGUCUGCCGCAGGGAAGCCGUGAAGCGAGCCACCUGGGAAGUACGGCCGCAAGGCUGAAACUUAA
rnacentral:rRNA from 1 species